GUGGCGCGUGGUCUGGAAGGCUGGUGUUGACAGUGGAGGGAAGCCACCACUGAGCGACAGAAAUCUGAGUCUGAAAUAUCCUUCUUCUUACGUGUCCAGCAAACUUUCCACCCCAGGAAGUUCUGGAAUCUAGACAGUUUGCUUCUUUCCUCUGGUUCCAUUUCUCUGCUCUCAUCCACUCCUCUUGCUGGCAGGUCUCAAGUCUCCUCUUAUUUCCUUACCCAAGGCCUCCCAGCCGCCCUCCAGGCCUCCAGGCCAUGGCAGGGAGGGGCUGUGGCUUCCAUACCCAAGCUGGCCAUCGAUGCACUUGGCCGUGCAAAGACCCUCAUCUUCCUAGAGGAACGCGGGGACCAGGUUUCAGUUGAACACGUUUUCCUGCCUCACUGGCCUGUGAGCCUCUCAAGGCUCUGGGCUGGGUGGAUUCAGGCCUCUGACUCAGGGCCCAGCCUUAUUCCAGUGAAUGUCCAAGGAAAGAAGGAUGAAUUGGCCGCACUCCUUGCCCUUCCGGAUCCGGCUGCCCGCCCCACCUCCCGGACCCAGCCUCUCAGGUCAGCAGUGUGGUGCAAGGCAGAGGCAGGGCUGGGAGGCAGGAGACGGGGCUGCGGUCCCAGCCCUCCAUCUUACUCACCUCUCCUGGCCUCACCUCGUCUCCUCAUCCGGGAGCGGGUGUGUCAAUUAAAGCUCUUUAAAAGCAAGUGACAGAGACCUGCUUUGGCUUAGUGAAGCGAAACAAGAAAAAAGGGGCUGCAUCGGGAGGAUCUGGGGCUGCCCACAGAAUGGGAGGAGGCGCUAAACUAGGCCUCAGAAAGGCCAGAACCCGGGGCCACUCCAGGGAUCCGGGAGCAGGGACCCGUGAACCGCAUCUAAGGCUAGUUCCCUAAAUAAUAACCCAGGCUCUGUUGUCGGAAGAAGAGAGCAUGGCUGCGGCAGCCCCAGACAGCUCCUGUCCACGUCCCACAUCAGUGAGGAGGCGGGCCCACCGGGGCGCCUGAAUCGAGUGAGCUCUGAUGGGGAAGCUCCGUGCAGGCUGCCAAGCAGCCCGAGACGCACGGGAGCAUCGUGUGUCCGUCUGUCCCUCCCAUCCAGGGCAGGGACGCAGGGGGAGCACGCCAGCUUCUCGUCCUGGCUUUGCCACUGACUGGUUAUGUGUCCUUGGGCAAGUCACUCUUCCUCCCGGACCAGAGUUUUGUCAUCUCUCGAAGACAGUGAUCAUCUCUAAGACCAGUCCUCAGCUCACUAAGGUGUUCGCAGCCCAUCCCAGGGGAAUUUGAGAAAUUAAAAGAUGUUCCUGGCAGCAACCACUUCACCUGAGGGAAUGAAUCAUAAAUGAUGGCACUUCAGGCUGCUGUGAAGAAGAUAUCAGGUGACAUCAAGUGGAAAAACACCCCCCUCCCCCAGGAACCCACGCAGGAAGACGGGCAGCGCGGGCACAGCGCCCCCACCUGGGGCUCCAGAACAUCUGCCGUGAGGGGCUGCAGAGAGUCCCUGCUCUGGGGCGAGAGGUUGGUCCCAGUUGAGAUUUCAUUUGCUGGAGGGCUUCCAGGCAGAGGAAACACAGCUGGCCCUCAGGAGACACGGGCCUCUGGACCACGUGUGUCACAGUGCCUUUGUUGAAGGAACACACAGAUUUGUGACAGCAGAUCGAGGCUCUGUGCAAAGAGAACAUCAGUUCUCUCCCGGCCUCAGUGUCUGCAUCUGUCAGAUGGGGAUAAGGUCAUUGUGCCAACCUCAUGGGGCCUUUCUGAGGACCCCCUGGGACAAUAGAGCUGAAAGAAAACCUGAGGACACAGAGGGCCAGGGGCCGAAGAAGGGCUAGAACAUGUGCUCCACAGGGCGGGGCCUGAGUCUGUCCGUGCACUGCUGCGUCCUCCGUGCAACGCGGGCUCCGGCACACAGCAGACGCUCGAAAAUUGUCUGUUGAGGAUGAAUAGCUGACACGCAAUACGGACUUGUGCAGCAAGCCCUGUUCUGAGAGUUUUCCAUGCACGCACGCUUCAUCCUGACAAUAAUACAGGUACUGUCGUCCCCAUUUAGAGAUAAGGCAACUGAGAGACAGAGGGAUUAUGUCACCUGCCCAAGGCCAGGCGGCUCGUAAGAGCAGGGCUGGCUUCCACCUCCCGCAGGCCGGCUCCAGGUCUGUGCUGUCACACAGAGUGCUCCUGUCUGAGUGCUCCUGUUUGAGUGCUCCUGUCUGGAUGCUCCUGUCUCAGUGCUCCUGUCUAGAUGCUCCUGUCUGAGUGCUCCUGUAUGAGUGCUCCUGUCUGGAUGCUCCUGUCUGAGUGCUCCUGUCUGGAUGUUCCUGUCUGGAUGCUCCUGUCUGAGUGCUCCUGUAUGAGUGCUCCUGUCUGGAUGCUCCUGUCUGAGUGCUCCUGUCUGGAUGUUCCUGUCUGGAUGCUCCUGUCUGAAUGCACCUGUCUGGAUGCUCCUGUCUGGAUGCUCCUGUCUGGAUGCUUUGCUUACGCAUGAGCGAAGGAAGAAGCUCGUGUGGGUAUUUAUGAAUGAGGUUUGGGAUUCCUCGUCUCUUUGCUUUGGGAAGAGGGUCUGAAGCUUCCAGCAAGGAUUCCUGUUUUUCACUCAUCUGUCAGCAGCUUCUGGUAUUUACAGAAAACACUUCGCAAAUGCAACAACAAAACUGGCCUCAUCAUCUGUCUCCAAACCUGGCAUCCUCUUCCCCUCCUCCCGGUGGCAGCUCGUGCUGUCACUGAGGACGGGUGCCCCAGACAGAAACUUGGAGUCAUUUUUGACACCCUUCCCUCUCUCCCCUGGACAGUCUCCUCAAGGUCACAGCAGAAACUGUCUCACAGCAAGUUCGUCCAGCUGUCACCCCUGUCAUCUUCCAGCUCUGACUCCCUGGGUCUUUGACAGCUUUAAGUGAGGGCUGAAGCCAAAAGGAAGGACAGACACAGAGUUUGCUGGGUGUUCAGCUCCAUGGCAGGAGCUCCCACAUACACGGACUCCUUUCACCCUCUCAACAACCCUGUGAGGUGGGAAUUACCAACCCCAAUAUCCACAUGGGGAAACUGAGGGUCAAAGAGGGGAAGGGACUUGCCCAAAGGAUGUACGCAGCAGAGCUGUGUCCUAAUGUGCAAUCAGCAGGAAAACGGUGGGGAAACGCCCGGAAGGCGAAGAAUAAGAAUCUGUAAACAAUGAACAAAGAAUUGGGGCGGGGGUAGCAGCGCAGGGAAGCGCUCACAGGAAAAUCAGGAUCCGCAGAGAAAACGUUUGCAGAAACCAAAGCUAAGAAUGACCCCAACCACCAGUGACCCGGGAGGGGCGGGCCGCUGUCGUCAGGCAGCCAUUCUAGGCUUGGCCGGCCACCCACGGGGGAGGGGGCCAGUGUGAAUGCUCUGGCCAAUAGGGGCGGCCAUGACAAGU
ensembl:lncRNA